rnacentral:rRNA from 1 species
CCUACGGGAGGCAGCAGUAGGGAAUAUUGCUCAAUGGGGGAAACCCUGAAGCAGCAACGCCGCGUGGAGGAUGAAGGUUUUCGGAUUGUAAACUCCUUUUGUUAGAGAAGAUAAUGACGGUAUCUAACCCAUAAGCACCGGCUAACUCCGUGCAAGCAGCCGCGGUAAUACGGAGGGUGCAAGCGUUACACGGAAUAACUGGGCGUAAUGGGCGCGUAGGCGGGAUAGCAAGUCAGUUGUGAAAUCUUUUGGCUUAACCAUAGAACUGCAAUUGAAACUGUCAGUCUUGAGUAGAGGUGAGGUAGGUGGAAUUCGUGGUGUAGGGGUGAAAUGCGUAGAGAUCAAGAAGAACACUGAUUGCGAAGGCGACCUGCUAGAACAUAACUGACGCUGAUGCGCGAAAGCGUGGGGAGCAAACAGGAUUAGAUACCCUUGUAGUC